GAUACUCUCAAACAAAGGGAGCUUUGUAGCUCUCUCUGUUUGGAAUUGGACUCUGCUGCAAUUAUAAUGUGGCUAGUCUUAAAUGUAUUAGCUGGUCCUCAUUGAGGUUUGGUUCUACUCAGCGUGAUAAUUAUCUAACGUUGAGGACGGUCCCAGGACUGGCCAUGGCUCUCUCUGGAUUGCUUCUUAAAUGGUCUUGAGGACAAUCACUCAAU
rnacentral:misc_RNA from 1 species